rnacentral:tRNA from 1 species
GCUGGAGUGGUGAAAUUGGUAGACACGCACGUUUCAGGGGCGUGUGGAAGCGAUUCCAUGUGGGUUCGAGUCCCACCUCCAGCA